AUGGGGCAAUCUAAUAAUUCAUUUUCAUCAGAAACCCUUAACCCUCAUUGAAUCCGCAGCCGCGCCCAAACCUAGUUUCUCUCCCGUCUUCUCGAGAAGGGCUGUGGAUGAUGAAAAUGCCAAUUUUACAGUUAUCCCUGUCUGAUACUGCAGUGCAGUGCAGGUGCUGAAAAUUUGUUAUCUGACACACACUUUAGUUUCAUUUGAACCAUUGAAUUUCAAGUGCUUAAAAUUUGUAAGCGGAGGGUUUUUGGAUCGAAGUAGCCAUGUUUCCAGGAAUGUUCAUGCGAAAGCCAGACAAGGCUGCAGCAUUGAAGCAGCUGAAAUCUCAUGUUGCCAUGUUUGGAACAUGGGUUGUUGUCAUUCGAGUUGCGCCUUACAUCCUUUACUAUUUCAACGACGAGAAAGAGGAACUCAAGCUCGAAAUUUAGAUUCUUAUAUUGUGGUCUUGAUGACGAAAUGUGCUUUUGGGUUCUCAAGGAAUUUCAUCGAAUAAUGUUCUUAUGUAACCCUUAUAAUUGAGAACUUGAUACAUUGUUUCAUGAUUGUUUUAUGGGACUAAGCUAUCUGCCACCAUGUACAUGAUAAAUUGAGGAAAUGAUAUAUUUUUUUUACUGGUUUUUUGGUUAGGUUGUACUUCUUUAAAGUGAUAAUAUUGCAUCACAAAACUGGUGGUUUAUGGUCUUUUCUGAUAAAAGGAAAA